UCAUUUGAACCGUCCAAAAUUUGAGAUAAAUCUCACCGUCCAUACAAUGCCGGAGGCACAAAACACAGCUAGUAUUACUGUGGCGACCCCAAAUCCAGGUACUUGAAACCCGAACUCGGUUCUCCACGAUACCAUUUCUUUAAGCUGAAUAAUACUAAAUAAUAAUACAUUCGAACUUAAUUUACAUACAUCAAAGUUUACUUCCCCAGGUACGUGACCUUC
rnacentral:lncRNA from 1 species